GAAUUUUAACAUUUUAUUUAUCUAUAUAUGUAUGUAUACACACACAUCUGUAACCACACAAAUGUAAGAUUAUAAAGCAAAAGGUACACAAGGUAGGAGAUGUACCUUGGACAACACGAACCUACCAUGGGGGUAGGGGGGUUGAUCUCCCCGAGGAAGCCAGACUUGAAGUGAGGUCUGAAGAAGGGCUAGGAAUUAGCCAGAUGAAGAGAAAAACAUAUCUGGAAGGUCUUUCGGGGGAGGGAUCAUGGUAGUUACAGAGGCUAAAAGAAAUUCAGGAGCUGGAGCAGGGAAUGGUGGGGUGUAUGGUAUAACAUUAGCUGGGAAAUUGGUUGUGACCUGGAACAACAGGCAAGUUAUUGCACUGUGUUCAGGAUCUUUGUCAUAGGAAUAAUAGGGACUUGUAUUGGAUUAAAUCUGAUUGACAAUCACUGAAAACUUGAUAUAAAUACAACUUUAUCUAAGAGCAAUAUAGCAAACUGUGUUAGGAUUAUAUUAGACUUAAAAUGACUGCCAGCCCAAACAAUGAAAGUUUGAUUUUCUCGUAAGGUAGGAAGUUUAUGGCUAAUAGGUGAAUCCGAUCAUCAUCCUCAGUUUAUCAUCCUUGUCAUGUAAUUUCCAUGUGCGACACAAGAAGACCCUCUAGCCAUUAGCCAUCCUAACAGUGCUCUAGUCAGCAAGGAGGCACACAGUCCUGGAAGGUGCACACACACUUCUUUUUCUUACUUGGCAGUCAAUGACCAGGCCUGGUUAUAAAUGUAGGAAAUGCAGUCUUUCCUUAGGUGUCUCUUCCCAGCUAAUAGGUGUUUUGUUAUGGAGGAAGACAGGAAAAAUGAGCAUUUGGGGACAGUAAGGCAUCUCUGCUACAGACAUCAUUAGAGGGUAAUUUCUUCAUCAAUUGCCUUUUUUGUUGUUUUUUUCUUAAGACAGGAUCUUACUACAUAGACCUACCUGGCCUGGAACUUACUGUGUAGAUGAGGCUGGCCUCAUACUGGCAGAGAUCUGCUCGCUUCUCCCCUUUGAGUGCUAGGAUUAUAGGGCAUGGUCCACCCCACCCCAGUCUGAGUGUGCCUCUUUACACGAAGGACCUUUGUGUCAGGAGGCAGACACGGUGAGGGGCAGAGGGCGAGUGCUUGACCGGGGUUAUUAAGUGUUUCUUCUUGGGGAGGCAGAGGGGGUAGAGGUCAGGCAGGGUUUCUCUGUGUAGCCCUGGCUAUCCUGGCACUCGCUCUGGAGACCAGGCUGGCCUCGAACUCACAGAGAUCCACCUGCCUCUGCCUCCCAAGUGCUGGGAUUGAAGGUGUGCGCCACUGCCUGACCUUUAUUAAUUGUUCUUAGUGGUGGUGAUACUCCUCCUUCCCUUUGACCAUUUGCAAGUAUGUCAAGGCAUUUUUGUUUGUCGUAAUAACUGGUAGGUGAGGCGAGAAGGAUAAUAAUUAUUACAGGAUGUAUAGACAGUUCCACUUAGCAGAGAAUUGUCCUGCCUAAUAUAUUAGUAGUAUCCUUGUUGCAUAGCAAGAGUCUGCUGGUGCAGCUGAGAAGUAGAUGAAUUCAACACUUGAUGGGUUGGAUACAAGGUGAAGUGUCACUGUCAUUCAGGUUUCUGGUCUGUCAUCUGGGUAAGGAUGACUUUACUGACAGAAACCCCUAGAAGAGGACAGGUUUUUCAAGUAGAACUAAUCUUUAGUUCCAAUUCAGAUGUUCUUUUGACUAGUUUAAGAAUCCGUUAAGAACCAAUAACUUUGCCCAGCAUAGUGGCACAUGCCUUUAAUCCUGGCACUUAAGGAGACAAGUGGAUCUCUUAGUUUGAGACAAGUCUGGUCUACUGAGUGAGUUCUAGGACAGCCAGAGCUACACAGAGAGACCUUGUCUCAAACAAACAAACAAACAAACAAACACCCCCCCCCCCAAAAAAAAACAAAAACCCAAAAGAACCAUUACCUCCAAGAUUGGCCAGCCAAUCUUGGUCACAUUGGUCACAUUGUCUCUAUAAUGUGACCCCUGUUUCUCCCCAUAUAAAAGCUGAGAGGAGAGGAGGAACUAAAGCCAUACUUUGGUUUGAGGAGUGCCAACACUUAACAACCAAGUAUAACAUAUAGAAAAGGAAAGGGUAGAGAAAUAGGAAGAAAUCCAGGAAGGCGUUGAGUUUGGAUGCCAAGGGGGCAGGCAGUGUGAAUUGACUGAGGAGGAGCUUUUCAGUGCAAGCAAUAGCGCUUGAAGCCAGGACUUGUCCGGUAACAAAGAUGAUGGUGAUGAGGGAACUGCAGAACUCUUAAGCUACAGUAUUCAUUCAUUAAACUCAGAUUCCUAAUUAAAGCUACAGAAAGCCAAGUACUGUAGCUUAGCGCCCCCCACCCCCAACAAAACUUCUCUUGAAUUUCUUUUGCAGUCCUGUUUUCAGUCUCCUGAGAUAGCCAUCUUCCUAUGUAGGAGGCUGGGCUGUCAAGGGUCUGUUUCCAUUACAGUCUACUAGGACCCUAUACCCAAAUGAGGGUACAAUAACCCAAGACCCAAAACAAAAGUAUAUUUAAACUUAUAAGUUAUAAUCAAGGCUGGAGGCUUUAUUUAAUUGCCUUGGGAAUAGUGAAAUUAUGAAAGUGCUCAUUGUUCAAUACCAAUAUUUGUUCUUUAGUAUCAAUGUUAAAAUAUUGAUGUUUAAUGUCUUAAUAUAGGAAGUAAUUGAAAUGUUUAGCUUUAUGAGAAUCCAUGUACUGAUUAUUUCUGAGGCUGUGAUAAGUACACUGAAGGCAUAUUAUUUUCUACUUCUGUGUUUGAAAUGUUCUAUAAUAAAAAGUUUUAAAGAG